UCGAUACCCACACACAUACAUCACCUUCAAACUCUCUACACAUAACCAAACAACACAACAACCACAUGCAUUUUGAAUUUCCUUCCUUUUGGCCGCCUAGAAAACGCGUGACCACGGGAUUUGGCUGUCAAACAUUUCAUAUCCUUGGUGACUCCUGAUUCUCAUGUCCACAUAUACACGAAUGAACCUAGGCCAUUUUUUAUCACAAAUACAAAUCAAUCAUAAGAUCAUUGCCAAGUUUACAAGUCGUACAAAACCGAUACCAUCGUCACUUCCCUCACAGCCACUCCAUUUCAACAUCACACACACUCACAAACACUCUUUCGCCGGCCCUGCAAGUGGCCGGACACGUACCGGAAUCACACCGGAGCCGUCCGAAGCGCACCGGAGCUUAUUGUUCGCAGGCGGGUUGUUGAUCCUUGUUCUUGUCCGGUUUAAAAAGGGAGACGACAGGAGUUUGCCGGAACCGACAGGUUGAUGACGAUGAUGCUAUGAAAUGAAGUAGCAAUGAUGCCUAGAUACACAUAUAGAC